GUGACACCCUGUGCAUGUAAUUUGGGAUCUCACUGGGACAAAGAGUUUAAGUUGUCAGAAGUAUGAGGGGAGGGUGUUUUGUUUUGUUUUUGACCUCCAAACAGUCUACUCAAAUCAGAAUAAACCUGCAUCCCUUCUGGGGCUUUUUGCAGGUCCAGAAGUAGAUGUCACAACCAAGAGUGACAUCGACACUGGCUCUGCCAAAACUGCCGAGAAGCACAAAGUAAAUGCUGUGGCCAUUUUCAGUUCUAAGUCUUUACGGACCGCCACAUCUUUCUGUACAGGACACUCUCCUGCCAUUGUCUCUGGUUUGUGUGUCGUAUGGCUAUUUUGUAUGCAAGAGUCCUGGUCCUUUCCCAGGAUUGCCUUGCAGGCUGUGCCCCGUGGACCACCCUUCACCACCAGUCAUGGGCUAUAGGCCACAUCCCCCUCCUCCACCUACUCUAUUUGUUAAGAUGACCUGAACUGGCUGAGUGGCUGGUAAAGUAUAUUCAUCUUCUUCAUGAUUGACUUUGUGGCAAUGAUGUAGAGACGGUUGUGAGUCUUGGCAAUCCAACUACAAACUGCCUGAGGACACUGUAGCAUAUCUCAAGUUUCUCAGGACAUACAUACAAUGGGCAGUGGCAUGUCCCUAUAAUACAGUGAGCUAUACGUUUCUCUUGUCAAAUGAAAGAGGAGUUUAGUUUUUACAACAAAAGCAGACGUAUCAGCAGUACUGGUUGCAUAUGUUGGAGACACAAUGUGUUGGGUUCUGUAAUGAAUGAGGUGCACCCCUAACUUUUAGAGCAUCAGGUGUCCUGUGUGACAGAGGGACAUUCAUUAAACGAUGCAGACCUGGUGAUCACCAACAUGGAAACACCAGUGAGGAUCCAGGGCAAAACCAGGGGAGCCUUGAAUCAUAUAGGAAUAGAAGGGAAGUUGAGCACAGUAAGCAGAGUUUGAGGAGGUGCAGAGGGGAGGGUGUUGGGGUCAGUGAGAUGCAGUUGGAGGUCAUUCCGGCCACAGCCUGAGCAGGGAGUGUGAGGUCCAUACGGAACUGCUAUGUGGGAUCGCUCUCAGUGCAAAGUGCACGCAGGUAAUCACCUAAAAAGAUUCUCGUCUCCCUGCAUUUCCUGAAGGUUCUGGAUAUUGUGGGGGGAAAAGAGCCCUGGAUAUAUGAGGUAUUUAACUUGGUCUUAUGAAAAUGCU
rnacentral:lncRNA from 1 species